rnacentral:lncRNA from 12 species
AUACGGAGUGACAUAGUGUAGUGGUGCCAGGAAGAAGUCUCACCUCCUGAAGGGCAAGUGGGUGUUUGCUCAUUCUAUUGUGAUAAUUUAUUUAUAUAUCUAUUUUAAUGUUAUUGCUAGCACUAGAAUAGUGAUAGUAAGUAGAGUCCCCACCUCCCAGCGAGUAUAAUAUGCAGAUUAUCUUUUUUAUCUUUGGAGAUUUUCAAGCUCUGUUUGCAAACAUAGUAAACAGUGGAUAUGACAUUGAAAAGCAAACGCCAAUAAAGUAAAAAAUAAGGAGCCUGGAAGAAGAUGUAUAACAUGCCCAAUAACAGGUUUAUGGACAUCUGUAGCAGACAACUUUCAUUUUUACUCUUUGCCCAGCAGCAGUGGUCUUUUGUCUGGAUCUGCUCUGUGCCACCCACCAUCAGGAAGCUUUUGAUUCUUUUCCUCCAUAAGAGGCAGUAGUUUAUUCUCUGGGAUCACAGCAUGUGAGUGUUCCUGCCUUUACCCCAGUAGCUUACUUCUUGCUUGGUAUGCAAGAAGGAACAUUGUAAUAUUGGGAAUUCUGUAUUUUUGUACCAUAGAAGGAGGGAGGCAGGCACUCUAAGAUCUUCUAUUCUGCUUCCUGUAUUUCUCAUGGCAUUUGUGAAGCCCUUGGGAAGACCUGGCAAAUGACUGUGGACACCUCUUAUGUCCAGGUUCUUAAGAAUUCCAAACUCUCCUUCUAGCUUAAACUUGGCCUUUAUGUGUUUGUUAACAAUCAAAUCAACCCUUUCCAUUCCUCUGAUACCCUGGUGGCUGCUUCCUUCUCCCUGACCAUGCCAGAAGUGGAAAAAUUUCAUGUACAUUCUCUCUCUUCCCGGGGCCUUGCUUUCUUUCCAAAUUCAGUUGCCAAGUUGCUUUGGUCAUACAUUCUUGGCCACUUAGAAUAGAUUUUUUUUUUUUUUUUUUUGAUGCCUCACAACAUAAAAGUCUUGGUGAAAGAAAGCAACUGGGAAGAUUAGGUUGCUCAGACAAUC